rnacentral:lncRNA from 7 species
UAUAUACGUCUUUUUUCCAUUUUAGGAUGGAUAUCUUAUGUUUCCUUUAGUAUAGUUUUCUUUUCCUUAUUUAGUACUUGUUUAUAGACUCGACGGUCGAUUGCGCCAUAGAAUAGAGAUAAAAGCAUUACCAUAGGCUCAUUCAUCGAAACGCAAAUCAGAGAGACAGGAAAAGAAAAAAGAAUUUUGAUCAAAUCAAUAGAAGGAAGGAUCCCUUACCUGAUUUGAAUUUCAUCCUCCUUUAAAUAGGAUAUGCUCUAAGUCUUCCCAUACUUUCCUAUAAUGACUGCAACGAUUUUCUCCAUUUUGCGAAUUCCUAUUUUAUUUGAAGUAUAUUACUAUCAUAUACAUUAUCUAAAUCGAUCCACUUUAAAUAAAAUAGAAAAAAU